AAUGCCACAGCAGCACAUCGCAAUAGCUCCAGCAUUACUCAUUUUGCACUGCAGCUGAAACCUAACAGCAGACAGACGCAGUCUCUCUCCCUCUGUAUCUCUCUUUCACACUCUCUACCUCUCAUCUGCAGAAUCCAUCCCCUCCCCUGUCAUUACAGCAUGGCGCUGCCCCUGAGCAAUGGGACUGCGCAGGUCCUGCUGUGCGGGGAGUUCACUCUCUCCACCAGCACGAAGGACAGGUACUCUGUGAGGCUGACCAGCACGGAGCUGCAGGUCCAGAAGACCGGACAGACCCGACUGCUCCUCCAGCUGCUCGACUGCAUCGGCUGCCGGGCUUUUAAAGGGGAGGACAGCUCCGACGCCGGGGCUUAUUUCUCUGCCUACUUCUAUCCCUUUAAGAAGAGAUGGAUGAGCUCAGGGGCUGUGAGGCAAAGGGUUGUCCAGACUUUUAGGGUUGAAGUGUCCCAGGACCCCCUGGAGAAUCUGAAAGAGGCUGAGAAAUGGGCUCAAGCGAUCCGGGACAGCUCCAUUCAACAGCUUCCCAAACAAGAAGGUCAGCUCUACAGUCUGCUGCCACGCCCCUGCAGGUUGCUGGUCCUGGUGAACCCUCACAGUGGGACGGGCCACGCACCCCAGCUCUUCCACAGCCACGUCCAGGACAUGCUGACCGAGGCGGGCGCACAGUACACCCUGCUGGUUACAGAGAGGCAGAACCACGCCCAUGAGCUGCUCCGGGAGGCUGACUUGUCGCAGUGGGACGCCCUGGUCAUCCUGUCAGGAGAUGGGCUGCUGUUUGAGGUUGUGAACGGGCUGAUGGAGAGGGCAGACUGGGAGGACGCUGUUCGGAAGCCGCUGGGAAUCCUGCCUGGGGGAUCUGGGAACGCAGUGGCCGCCUCUGUCAACCACUACUCCGGGAGCCAGGCCCUCUCCAGUGAGGAGCUGCUGCUGAGCUGCACCUUCCUGCUGUGCAAGGGGCUGGUCUCCCCUCUGGACCUGGCCUCCGUCACCACGGCUUCCGGCCAGCGGCACUUCUCCUUCCUGAGCGUGGCCUGGGGCUUCGUAUCCGACGUGGACAUCGAGAGCGAGAAGUACCGGCGCGUGGGGGCGGCUCGCUUCACCGUGGGCACUCUGAUGCGACUGGCUUCCCUGCGCGUGUACCGGGGCAGGCUGGCGUACCUCCCCGCCCAGGAGCUCCCAGCCCCGGGCCUGGCAGAGGGCUGCCCUGACCUGCCGGGCAGAGCCUCCCUGCGCUGCCUCCCGUCCGAGAGCCACAGCGCCCCCCACACCCUGUACAACUCCUCCAACUCCAACAACUCGGGCAAGGCACCCUCGCCGGGGGUGCAGGGCCCUGCCGACACGCUCCUGGCCCCCCUGGACCAGCCCGUGCCCGCUCACUGGACCGUGGUGAAGGAGGAGCGCUUUGUGCUUGUGCUGGCUGUGUACCAGUCCCACCUCUCCCAGGACCUGCUGGCGGCCCCCAAGGCCACUCUGGGAGACGGGCUCCUCCACCUCUUCUACGUGAGGGCUGGCAUCUCCCGGGCUGCCCUCCUGCGCCUCUUCCUGGCCAUGGAGAAGGGCACCCACCUGGAGCUCCGCUGCCCCCACCUGAGCUACAUGCCAGUCCGGGCUUUCCGCCUGGAGCCCUGCACGCCCAAGGGGGUGAUCACGGUGGACGGGGAGGCGGUGGAGUACGGCCCCAUCCAGGCACAGGUGCACAGAGGGCUGGGGAGGCUGAUCACCGGCUGAACCCAAGCACUGGCUCUGCACUGGACUUUUUCUCAUUUUUUUCCUGCGAAUAAUCCUGAACUGAAAAAAUCUUACUGAACAUUUGGAGAGGGUUUGAGAGUUUUGCGGUACGUAAACAGCCUCCAAUUUUUUUUUUUUUUUUUUUAAAGCUGUUUAUACAAGGCUAACAGUUUUUGAGCAUGUUUAGUUUGAGCAUGCAUGCUUAAUUUCCAAAGGGCAGUGAAGCUUUUCCCCUUAUUGCCCAUUAAUAUUUACACAAUGUACAUUACCACUGACAUAGAAGGAUGGCACCAAGCCAUACUGAGCCACCAGUGUCUCCAUAAACAAUGCUGUAUUUACAGCAACACACAUGCAAUGUGUUUUUACACAGUGCUGUGUUCAGGUUUGUUUUAACAAAGAAACCCCGGUCUACUCUAGAAACAACUGGGCAUUAAACAUUAUUUCACAUUUACUACAGUACUGUACUGAGCAGGACAUGAUACACUUUUCUGUAAGGUGUUUGCACACGUGUGCUUCUGUGGUGGAAUACAGAGCAUAGAAAACCUCAUGGCUAAUUAACAUAAAUACAGAGCAUUUACAUUUACAAAAUGAUCCUUAAUUAAAUAUUAUGAGCGAAAAAGGGCUUGCUUUAACUUGGCCUCCCUUUGUAUUAUACGGUCUCCUUUUCCAAAUAGAGUUGGACAAAAAUAUAUUAUUUUAAAAAGACUGUCAGCAUCAUACAGUACAUUUCUUUUGACAAUGUUCCUUUUUCUGGUUAAAUUCAUCACACUUUUAGGCACAUGGGGUGCUAUGCAUUUCACAGGAAUCUACGGCAUGUGCAUUUUCAUAGGAAAUGUGGUUCACUUUUUUUUUUUUUUUUUUUUUUUUUUUUUUUAAAGUUAACAGGAAUAUGAAAUAAUCAGGUAUACAUCACUGGAAUGCACUGCACGCGUAUAAUUCUUAAACCCCCAGUAUUAUUAUUUUGGCACACCAUGGCUACAUUGUAAAUUUCUAGGGAAAACCUACUUUCCUAACAGGAACUUGCAUAGCAGUGCUGGCACACAAAUAUUUAAAAAAUUCGUCUUUGCGGUGGAAAAAAGCUAGGAUGUUUAAUAAUGAACUGGAUUGCCAAUGAGUCAGUGUGCGAUUGCACCAUAAUACACAACAACGAUAUUGGGGAGAAGUGAUCCACACUUGUCUGCUGCUUUAAUAUUAGUUUAUGGAUUUUCUAAACGUUUAUUACUGGAGACUAAACAGAGGUGUUCACACAUUUAAAGGUGGCAGCCUUAUUCUUGACAAAUGGCUUUAAGAUACAGUGAACACAAGAGGGAUCAGAUAAUGAUUCGAAUAAAAUGGUUUGUAUAGCCGAGCAUGAUUAAAAGGGUCUGGGUUAUUGAUGAAGUGAUGAAGUGUUGCAUGAGAGACCAGUCCCAUCAUGGCAUUGUUACCUUACACAUAAUUACAACACAAUACUUCAUGCAGAUCAGCCAGUGCAGUACUGGUCCAAUCCACUCCUUGCCACCAUGAACAGCAUUCACUAGACUGUGUUCGCGAUGCCUUUCAGAAAUGUGAUGGCAGGUGUAUGCUGGCCUUGAAAAGGCACACUCCUGAAGUUAUGUGGCUUUGUUGCACUGAAGAUAGCCGUCUGAAAACUGCAGGGUUUUAGAAGCUGAUAAAGCAUUGCCUCCCUGUACUUGAGCUGCAGCGCUGGCACACAGUAUCCAAGUCCUUCAUGCACCUUACAGGAGUUUGGAUCCACAGUGUCCAAGUUCUUCAUGCACCUUGCAGGAGUUUGGAUCCACAGUGUCCAAGUCCUUCAUGCACCUUGCAGGAGUUUGUAUCCAGGAGUGGGGGGGAAUGAAUACCCCUUUGCACUGACAGCCCUGUCUGUGUGUGACGGUAUAGGGGUGUGCACAUCAGUACUGCUGUUCUACAGAAACAGGAAAUGAUCUCCUCUCACUCCAGGGAGAGGCAGUGUCACAUGCACAGGUACGCUGGUUGUCAGGGAGACUGCAGUGUUGGCACUGGUUGCCUUGGAAACAGCACAGGCAGCCCUAUCCCUUUGCACUUGAAUAGCAUUUUGGAAUAUCAGACUGCUGGAGAAUGGGAACGAUUGAUUAAUUGUGAAACAAACAUCUUUCAAUGAAGAGGGAAAGAACAGAUCAGAUAACGGAGCAGGAAUGCAAGCUCUCGAUGCAGCAAUACAUUGCAUUUAAAUGAAGACUUCACAAGGCUGAAAGGGAGGGGUGCAGGUCAUAUUGAUAAAUGCUGUGCAAUUUCCUAUCAACCGAGCCGUCAACAAAGCAAACCACAGCCACGCCCCAACAAUGAAAUGACCUGCUUCUGAGGGAGACACAUCUUGUAACUGGGAAGUAGGCUUGAAUGAAACUAUAAACUGUGAAAUUAGAUUCUGAACUCCAACCUCCUAAAUCUGUUUGCUGUGUAAUCAUAACUGAACAAUGUGAUUACUCAACAGUAACCUGCUUUCACCCACACCACGAUCCUCGCAUCAUAACAUGCAAUUGGAGGUACUUAUAGGCUUUGGAUGCCAUCGUAUAGGACAGCGAGGAAGCACUUGUGUUACAUUGACAGACACCAUUCAGAGGGUGUGUGCUAGAACAGAGAUUUUCUUUCAGCAAGCAGAAAAAAAGGGUAAGCAUAUGAAUACUGUAUUUACGUUAUUUUCCAGCAGAUUGAUAUAGAACAGAGAUUAAACCUUUGAGAUUAAGGACCUCACAUUGACCAAUCAGUCGGAUCCAUUUCCUUCUUUCUAGUUAACCUUCAGGCACCAGGAUGGAGUCGGUUUAUCCAUUUGUUAUCCUUUAUUCUUCUAUGGAAGUUUUUUUUUUUUUAUAAAAGUAUUAAUUCACACAAACCAGAAUAAGUUUAACGCUAAUAGUCCAAAUACAGUUCUAGGCUGUAUAAUAUUUUAUGCACAAGGACUGCAUAAUAACUAGCUUCUUUGCAAAGAAGUCCUGGGGCGACGAUACCCUUGUGCCAAACGCCACACAUUUACAAUGGAAUACUGGAAGUCAUUGUUGAAAAGACAUCUAAAACACUGAAGGACUGAUAAGGCGGCUGGAGGAACUGUCUGCUCCAGCUCUGCAGUAACUGGUUGAGUUCAUUUAUUGGUUUCUUGCACUUUCUUUAUUAUUUUGUCAUUUAAAAGAAGAGAACACCUUGGCUGCCAUGCUUCGGCUUACAGAGCACACUUUAAUGUAUUACUUUCUUUUUUUCUUACACAUGUUCUGUAAUGCAACCAAAAUCAUUGGCAUGUAAAAAAAAAAAUAACAAAACACACAGCAAUUUAUACACAAGAACACUCAAGCUUUCACAUUAUCACGUCAACAUUUUUUUGUACUUUUCUUGUAUAAUUCUGACUUCUGUACAGAGGAAUCAGGCUACGAACUAUUUUAAUUGGGUAGCCCAACAGGCCACUGUGUGAAACGUUUACAGCACACAGUCCUUUUGUCUGCGUAGCCAUUUCUAAGGCUUGAAGCAACAAGUUUCAUGCUUUGGUUGUACCUUUAAAUGAUGCUUAUUUUACAUAUUAUGCACAGACACAAGGACUAUUACUUAGCUUUGUGUGCAUCGAUUCUUUUCAGCUCUAGCUUCACAUUGUCUAUAGAAAUAGUCUGGAGCUGCAAAAAAAAAAAAAACACAGGUGUCUGGGCAUAGCAGCCAAAAUGAAGAACAAAUAAAUAAAUAAAUCCCAGGCUUACAGGCAGCAAAUAAGAUCAGACCAACACAACGUCGCAUUUGAAGAAAGAUCGACGGGCCAGUCAGACACUAAUGCAAUUAAAAAAAACUACUCUUUUAUGGAACUGAGCACAUUACAACUCCCAGCAUUUCAACUUUCGACACUGAAGAAUCCCUUCCAAGGUGUGAAUGGAAAAGGGGUCUCUUCUUCAGUUUCACAUGCUUGUUUGUGUCAGUCCAAUAAAAGUCCUGAUACUUUUGAAUUCACUUAUUUCUUCAAGAAAUAACCUCCCACCCACAUCCACACCCACCCUCUCUGCUACGACAGCUGGAUAUUAUUGUGGCAGCGAUGUUCAUGCUAGACUGGGAACCAGGAGAGCUGGGUUGUGCUUCGAUCCCCCCUCUUCCAGUUGUGAAACUGGGGAAAUGUGAGGCGGCAUCAUCCCCCAGACAGGCUCUCGAGAGGUUAAUAAACUGACUGUCAAGCCUGUAAACCUGUUUCAUCCCUGUUUUCAAGCUUAUGUAACUGAUAUCGGAUCCAUUCAUUUCAGAUGAUAUGAUAUUGAGAGAGCGCGCAUAUAGAUAGAUAGAGGAUCUAUUUUGGUCAUCUUGUUUAAAAGGUACACACACACACAAACACACA